UACGAAGGGUGCAAACGUUGUUCGGAAUUACUGGGCGUAAAGCGCGCGUAGGCGGACCUGCAAGUCGGGGGUGAAAGCCCGAGGCUCAACCUCGGAACUGCCUUCGAUACUGCGGGUCUCGAGUCCGGGAGAGGUGAGUGGAAUUCCUAGUGUAGAGGUGAAAUUCGUAGAUAUUAGGAAGAACACCAGUGGCGAAGGCGGCUCACUGGCCCGGUACUGACGCUGAGGCGCGAAAGCGUGGGGAGCAAACAGG
rnacentral:rRNA from 1 species